CCUACGGGAGGCAGCAGUGAGGAAUAUUGGUCAAUGGACGAGAGUCUGAACCAGCCAAGUAGCGUGAAGGAUGAAUGCCCUCUGGGUUGUAAACUUCUUUUAUAUGGGAAUAAAACGUUCCACGUGUGGGAUUUUGUAUGUACCAUAUGAAUAAGGAUCGGCUAACUCCGUGCCAGCAGCCGCGGUAAUACGGAGGAUCCGAGCGUUAUCCGGAUUUAUUGGGUUUAAAGGGAGCGUAGGUGGAUUGUUAAGUCAGUUGUGAAAGUUUGCGGCUCAACCGUAAAAUUGCAGUUGAAACUGGCAGUCUUGAGUACAGUAGAGGUAGGCGGAAUUCGUGGUGUAGCGGUGAAAUGCUUAGAUAUCACGAAGAACUCCGAUUGCGAAGGCAGUUCACUGGACUGCAACUGACACUGAGGCUCGAAAGUGUGGGUAUCAAACAGGAUUAGAUACCCUGGUAGUC
rnacentral:rRNA from 1 species